UAAAGGGUAACUAACACGAAAAAUGACCAUAGGGGAUGAUGAAAAAAAAAAAAAAAAAAAUUCAGUUAGGACACGUCUGGGUUGGGCGUCAAAUUUUAGAGGCGUCAAAUUUAGAGGCCUAUAGGGCCAAAAAAAAAAAAAAAAAAGUUAGGGCAAGUUUCAGACGACACAAUCUGCUUCGACACUCCGCAGGGCUAUCGCCUCAGGUGACAAGGACACACUUCUUAGGAUCUCGUGAGGUUAUUUGCCUUGAACUUGAAUCAAAUCAUUGCAUAUUGAGACGAAAAAGAUGCAGAUGAUGUUGUAGAUUCCCAAUUCGAGUUAUCUCUCUGGUUCGCCUCUCUAUUGGAGCAGUGAAAGUCCAAUCGAAGCAAAGAAAGGCAAAUCGAAGACCCCUAGAAAACCCAAGGAAAGUGUUAUUAAAUAGAAAUCACCAGCUGAGUUUUUUGCUGAGAGCAAGAACAUUGUUGGGUUUGAUAAUCCAGGGAAAUCCCUCUACACUACUGUGAGAGAACUUGUUGAAAAUGCUCUUGAUUCAGCAGAAUCCAUAUCUGAGCUUCCUGUAGUAGAAGUAACAAUGUGCAAUCACUGGAGCUAUAACAACUCCUCUUGAUGUCAUAAAAACUAGAUUAAUGGUUCAGGGGUCAGCAAACCAGUACAAAGGUAUAUUUGAUUGUGUUCGGACUAUCAUUAGAGAAGAAGGGACUCCUGCUCUUCUAAAGGUUAGUAGACAAAAUAAUUAAGCAAAUAGUGAUGGAUAAAGAAUGGAUGCACAUGACUUGCAGGAUUGAUUAUCACCAGUUCAUUAGGAGCAGAAGAAUCAGAAUUUCUAUGAUUCCAGUCUACAACAAAGCUAUUUUCUUGGAUUUUGCAGCUAUUUUCUUGGAUUUUGCAGUUACUUCCUUGGAUUUUGUACAGUGAGCUGGUUUUUUGACAAGUGCAGACUGAAACUCAAGUGCUAGAAGGUUUAUCAAUUUUUCAACAGAAGUGUUAAGAAAUUGAUGAUUUUCUUGACAAAUGGAUGUACUUUCUAUUUUGGAACAUUGAUAAAUGAUGAAUUGUAAAAAUGUUUUAACUUUUUUGAUAUAUUUAAUGGGAUAUGUAUGUUUUUUGAAUUGAAA